rnacentral:lncRNA from 1 species
UUUGAUUUUACAAAAGGGAGUCGAAUAAGAAGAAAACAUAAAAUCAAACGUAAAUGAGAUUUGCAGGCAAUUUCAUCAAAGGUUUUCUGUAGAUAUAUUAAGGGUUCUUCGAAUAUUUGAGAAGAAGAAAUCGAGUUCUCAAAGAGAGAUAUAGGUAACUACAAUGAAAUGCUACUUUCCCAUAUCUAUCUAUACACGUGUAGAUAUAUACCAAAUAGUAAAAAACGAGAUAGUGAACAGUAGUGAACCAAUUUAGGUGUGAACUGGAGGUUUCAAGAAUGAACAGUAAAUUGGGAUUCACUCUUUUAAAGUAGAGGGGAUUACUUCAAAUAUUUGAACAUUAUGAAUUACCUUUACAUAAUGCAUGAAAUACAACUUCCAGUUCAUUCGUAUGAUUCUCCUUCAAGCUUACUAAAAGUGAAACUGUAUUUAAACAAUUUUUUCCUCAAAAGGAAGUACAACUGUAAAAAAAUAGAAAACUUGUACAUAAACUGAGCAGAAAUCUAAAGGAUGAACAAUUUUCUUUUAAUAAACAUUACUAACCAAAGACUAUAUAUCUAGAAUCAUUAAUCUCACUAACUAUGAACCUAUGGCAACAAAAAUGCAAAAUUUUUUACUCCCUAACCAAAGUUUCCCAAAGCUAAAACAUAAAGAAAGAAGAAAUAGAACACUUAAACAUAGUCAGAGAAGAAAUCAAAAGAUUAUACGCCAUAAAGUAAAGCAAAAAUAAAACAACUUUAAUUUUUGAAGAAAUUACCACAAAAAUCCAUAGGAACACAAAUGGGAAUUGAAGAGUGACAAACAAACGGUAACAAAAAUACGAAACUCGAAAAACAUAUACAAGAAUAAACAAGAGAAUAACGUACUUGAGGUCAGCACAAUCCACUUUGUGUGGGUUUCUGAAAGAAUCACAAAUCUCCAAACAAAGGUAGAAGGAAAAGGUAGAUGGCUACAGUCUACUUCACGUCAAGAAAUCUCCUUAUGUUGUCCACUUCGUGUGGAAAUAUUAUCAGAUUUUAUGAAAGGAAGUCAAAUAAGAAGAUAUAUACCAAAUAGUAAAAAACGAGAUAGUGAACAGUAGUGAACCAAUUUAGGUGUGAACUAGAGGUUUCAAGAAUGAACAGUAAAUUGGGAUUCACUCUUUUAAAGUAGAGGGGAUUACUUCAAAUAUUUGAAUAUUAAGAAUUAACUUUACAUAAUGCAUGAAAUACAACUUCCAGUUCAUUUGUAUGAUUCUCCUUCAAGCUUACUAAAAGUGAAACUUUAUUUAAACAAUUUUUUCCUCAAAAGGAAGUACAACUGUAAAACAAUAGAAAACUUGUACAUAAACUGAGCAGAAAUCUAAAGGAUGAACAAUUUUCUUUUAGUAAACAUUACUAAGCAAAGACUAUAUAUCUAGAAUCAUUAAUCUCACUAACUAUGAACCUAUGGCAACAAAAAUGCAAAAUUUUUUACUCCAUAACCAAAGUUUCCCAAAGCUAAAACAUAAAGAAAGAAGAAAUAGAACACUUAAACAUAGUCAGAGAAGAAAUCAAAAGACUAUACGCCAUAAAGUAAAACAAAUAUAAAACAACUUUAAUUUUUGAAGAAAUUACCACAAAAAUCCAUAGGAACACAAAUGGGAAUUGAAAAGUGACAAAAAACAGUAACAAAAAUACGAAACUCGAAAAACAUAUACAAGGAUAAACAAGAGAAUGACGUACUUGAAGUUAGCACGAUCCACUUUGUGUGGGUUUCUGAAAGAAUCACAAAUCUCCAAACAAAGGUAGAUGGCUACAGUCUACUUCACGUCAAGAAAUCCCCUUAUGUUGUCCACUUUGUGUGGAAAUAUUAUCAGAUUUUACGAAAGGAAGUCGAAUAAGAAGAAAACACAAUCAAACGAUUAAUAGUAAGAAAAUAAAAUUGUUACCAACAAUUCACAAAAAGAGAAAAAGAAUAUUUAGAAGAUUCAAUUUCGUCGACUGUAAAUGAGAUUUGUAGGCAAUUUCAUCGAGGAUUUUCUAUAGAUAUAUUAGGGGUUCUUCAAAUAUUUGAGAAGAGAAGAAGAAAUCAAAGUCUCAAAGAAAUAUAUGGGUAACGACAGUGAAAAGCUGCUUUCCUAUAUCUAUCUAUACCACUUGUAGAUAUUUACCAAGCAACAAAAAAUGAGAUAGUGAACAGUAGUGAACCAAUUUAGGUAUGAACAGAGGUUUGAAGAAUGAACGGUAAAUUGGGAUUCCUUUAAUUGUUUAAACACUAAGAAUUACUUUUACAUAAUGCAUGAAAUACAAAUUUCAGUUCAUUCUUAUGAUUUUCCUUCAAGCUUACUGAAAGUGAAAUUGUAUUCAACAGUUUUUUCUUCAAAGGGAAGUACAACUGUAAAACAAUAGAAAAUUUGUACAUAAACUGAGUAGAAAUCAAAAGGAUGAAAAGUUUUCUUUUGAAAAAACCUUAUUAAAUAAAGACUAUACAUUUAGAAUCAUCAAUCUCAAUAACUAUGAACCUAAGGCAACAGAAAUGUAAAAUUUUUUACUCCCUAAACAAAGUUAUACAAAGCUAAAACAUAUAGAUAGAAGAAAUAGAACACUUAAACAUAGCCAAAGAAGAAAUUAAAAGACUAUACACCGUAAAUUAAAGUAAAUAUAAAACCACUUCAAGUUUUGAAGAAACUACCACACAAAUUUGUAGGAACACAAUCAAGGAUUGAAAAGUGACAAACAGGAACAAAAAUACGAAACUCGAUAAACGUAUUCAAGGAUAAACAAGAGACUAAUGUUCUUGAGGUUAGCACGAUCCACUUUAUGUGGAUUUUCUGAAAGAAUCACAAAUCUUCAAACAAAGGUGGAAGAAAAAAGUAGAUCGCUACAGUCCACUUCGCAUCAAGAAAUCCCCUUUUGUUGUCCACCUCGUGUGGAAAUGUUCCUAGAUUUUACGAAAGGAAGUCGAAUGAGAAGAAAACACAAAAUAAUGAUUAAUAGUGAGAAAAUAAAAUCGUCACCAACAAUUCAUAAAAAGAGAAAGGAUAUUCUGAAAAUUCGAUUUCGUCGACCGUAAAUGACAUUUGCAGGCAAUUUCGUCAAGGGUUUUUGUAGAUAUAGUAGGGGUUCCUUGAAUAUUUGAGAAGAGAAGAAGAAAUCGAGAUCUUGAAGAAAGAUAUGGGUAACAACAGUGAAAAGCUACUUUCCCAUGUCUAUCUAUACCGCUUGAAGAUAUACUAAACAGCAAAAAAUGAGAUAGUGAACACUAGUAAACCUGUUUAGGUGUGAAUUGGAGGUUUCAAGAAUGAACAGUAAAUUGUGAUUCCCUCUGUUAUAGUAGAGGGGAUAUAUAGAUGGUCAGCUUGCUUUAGUCCCACAAUAUUGUUUUUCAGUCUUGAUAGAUCACCCAACUCUGGUCCAUAUGCAGUAACAAAAUCAUUGAAGUUGAAACAUCAUAUAAUCAAAAUCUUGUACAAAAACUUAAAUUUCAUUUGGUUUUUCUUUAAAUCUGUCAACAAGAAAAUUUUAGUAAUUUCAAUCUCGUCACAUCUCUCUCUACAAAAGUGACACUACAAUUGUGAUUCACUCUGUUAUAGUAGAGGGGAUAUAUAGAUGGCCAGCUUGCUUUAGUCCCAUAAUAUUGUUUUUCAGUCUUGAUAGAUCGCCCAACUCUGGUCCAUAUGCAGUAACAAAAUCAUUGAAGUUGAAACAUCAUAUAAUCAAAAUCUUGUACAAAAACUUAAAUUUCAUUUGGUUUUUCUUUAAAUCUGUCAACAAGAAAAUUUUAGUAAUUUCAAUCUCGUCACAUCUCUCUCUACAAAAGUGACACUAUUCUAUAGAUCUUCUGAGAAUGUCACCUUUGCCAUGCACAGGAGAGACGACAACAAGAAUCACAAAACCACCCAAAACAACUAUCAACAUGCUAUAAGUUCACCAACAACGCCUCAGAUGAAAGGUGUGAUAUUAUGUUGUGUGCUUGAAGAAGAGUCAUUUUCUCUUUUUUUUUGAUAGGUAAAGAAAAGUCAUUUUCUCUAAAACAGCCUUUGUCAUGAGUGGAGCCUAUAGAAGUUGUCAACACCUUUGCCAUUGUGAAACUUCCAAGCAGCGCAUACUCCAAUUAUGCUCAAACAGAAUGCCAAGAAUUGCAAACACAAAUGAACACAUUUUUUGAAGUUUUUUUUUUGUUCCUGAGAGAGUCUUGUCGGUCAGCAUGGCUAAACAAAUCCAUACCAUCACAAGUCCAAGAAUGCCAGUAAGCAGGUAAUGAUGACCAGUGUAAUAAACAACCCUAAUGAUAUACAACAAAUGAUAAAC